AUAGCCCAGGGAAACCUGGAUUAAUACCGGAUGAGACGGGACCCGCGAAGGCGGGACCCGGGAAAGGCGCUGCGGCGCCGCCGGGGGAUGAGUCUGCGUCCCAUUAGCUAGACGCGGGGUAACGGCCCACCGUGGCGACGAUGGGUAGCCGGCCUGAGAGGGUGGAACGGCCACAUUGGAACUGAGACACGGUCCAGACUCCUACGGGAGGCAGCAGCUAAGAAUCUUCCGCAAUGGGCGAAAGCCUGACGGAGCCGACGCCGCGUGAACGAAGAAGGCCGUGAGGUUGUAAAGUUCUUUUCGGGUAGGGGGAACAACCGUGGCAGGGAAUGGCCGCGGGAUGACGUGAAUCCCGGAAUAAGCCCCGGCUAACUACGUGCCAGCCGCUGC
rnacentral:rRNA from 1 species